rnacentral:rRNA from 1 species
UUAAUUCUGCCUGACGUGGAUGAUAGUUUGCGAGACUAANCCAUGCAUGCUUGCGAAGUGCGUUGUGUGCGGAUCGGCAGACGGCUCAGUAAUACUGCGAUGAUUUGUUCGGGGAGGCCGUGUAGCCGCGGGAAACUGUGGGUAGNCGGCUGGGCUGCACUGGGUUGCUGGGGCGGUGUCUGAGUAAGUUGCAGCCCUAUUAGCUGGUAGCUAGGGUAAUGGCCUAGCUAGGCGAUGAUGGGAGACGGGGAAUUUGGGUUUGGUUCCGGAGAGGGAGCCUGAGAGAUGGCUACUACGUCCAAGGAUGGCAGCAGGCGCGGANCUUGCCNNAUCCUUUUGGGNAGGCAGUUAGCUAGCGUUGGGUUUGNUUGGAAUUGCGGAUAUUUCUAAGGGNUCAAAANNACCUUUU